rnacentral:lncRNA from 1 species
UUUAGCUUGUGUUCUUGAGUUUUGGUUUGGUUAUCUUUCAUUUUCCAGCAGCUGUUCUUAUUCUUUUCUGUUUUGGUUCGGUGCAUUUUAAUUUCCAGCACUUCUAAUUCAGUUUGCUUAUCUUUUGUUCCAUUUUGUUCGGUUCAAUUUGACUAUAAUUGGAACUUCCAUAUGAGUUUGGAAUUGGUGCUAGUUUUUGGAGAGUUCUUGACUUAGAACAAUGAUCCAAUUCUAAGAAAAAG